GCCCCGGUAAACGGCGGCCGUAACUAUAACGGUCCUAAGGUAGCGAAAUUCCUUGUCGGGUAAGUUCCGACCUGCACGAAUGGCGUAAUGAUGGCCAGGCUGUCUCCACCCGAGACUCAGUGAAAUUGAACUCGCUGUGAAGAUGCAGUGUACCCGCGGCAAGACGGAAAGACCCCGUGAACCUUUACUAUAGCUUGACACUGAACACUGGUCCUUGAUGUGUAGGAUAGGUGGGAGGCUUUGAAGCGUG
rnacentral:rRNA from 2 species